CUUGAACAUCUUUUUAUGAGCUUUUUGGUCACUUGUUUUUCUUGUUUUUGGAAGAAUGCCUAUUCAAUUGUAUUGCCCAUUUUAAAAUCAAGGUGUUAGAUUUUUGUCACUCAAUAGUUGGGGUCAUAUAUAUAUAUAUAUAUAUAUAUAUAUAUAUUCUGAAUAUUAACCCAUUACCAGAUAUAUGAUGUGCAAACAUUUUCUGACAGAUUCCUCAGAAAAUGGAGGCAGAGGAGUAAGGAUAUCUUU